GCCUAGAUAGUCCAGUGGUCAAGACUCUUCGUUGUGGCCCAUAAAGCGGUUCCGAAGCAACCCAGGUUCGAUUCCUGGUCUGGGCA